ensembl:lncRNA
GAUUUUAAAUAUACAAUGUGAGUGUAUAUAUGUGUAUAUAUAUUAAAAAAAAAUAUAUAUAUAUAUAUAUAUAUAGACUUUCAAUUUUUUUGUUAUAUUUUUUUUUUACUUUAUAUAUUUGUUUAAAUUAAAAAAUGUAAAAUUUGAAAAAUGUUAUUUAAAAUAAACACUUUAUAGAUGUGCGAAGUCUCAUUUAACUUGAGAAAAUAAAAUUGGAAUUAAAUUUUGUACUUCAUUUCAAUGUUUUUACUGAUAAAAAAAAUAAAACAAUAAAAGAUGAGACUGAUAUGUGUAGAUGUCUAUACGUUUGAUUGCUCAUUUGUAUGUAUGUUUAUAUAUAUAUAUAUAUAUAUAUAUAUUUUUUUUUUUUUUUUUUUUUUUUUUUUUUUUAAAUUAUAAUUUUACUAUAUAAAUAAUAAAAAGAAAAUUUUAUUUAAAUAUAAUUAAAUUUACAGUAAUUACAUUGUAAGGCAAUAUAGUCUAAUAGUAAUGACAAAAAAAAAAAAAAAUAUACAUAUAUAUAAUAUAUACAUAAGAUAUAUGGUGAAUAUAUUACAAUUUGUAAUGUUUCAUUUUUAACGUACAAUAACGAAUUUUUGCAUAAUGAAUAAGAAAAAGACAGUGGGUAAAAAAAAAAUAAAUCCCCUUAAAGCAAGAAAUAACGAAUUAAAAAAAUUAACUAACGCUGAGAUAAAAAAUUUAGUGCAAACUAAAAAAGAAGAAUUGAUUAGAACAGUUCAAAAGAAGCAUUUGUUGGAAAAAAAACUAGAAGACAAAUAUGGCGAAUUAGAAUCUUUUAAAAAAGAUUACAGCGAAAUAAAAAAUAAAAUAGAUUUAAUUAGUGGAGAAAGUGAAAGAUAUAAUUUAAAAUCCAAAAACGAAACAAUAGCAAUAAAACAUAAAUCAGUUUUUUAUAGUUUUCAGAAUGAAGAACAAGUUAAAAAAUUAGAAAAAGAAAAAGAGAAUCUUAAAAUAUUAAUUGAUGAAAAACAUGAACAUACAAUGAACGUUUUAAUGAAUUGGUUAGAACAACAAAGAAUAAAUUUAGACAAUAUAAAAAAUAAAAAUUUCGAAGAAAUCAAUAAGUUAUCUACAUUAUUCAACUCGAAAAUAAAAAACUUAGAAGAAUUGUUUACCAAAGAAUUAGAACAAUAUAACAGUGAACAAAAAGAAGAAAUGGAAGAAAUGGUAGAGAAUUAUAAUAUCAUACAAAGAAAUGAAAUAAAUUAUUUAAAAAAUUUGUACAACGAUUACAUUAAUAAUGUUAAUACAAUUCAUACAGAAGUUUUGCAAAAUUAUAAAAAAUAUUACAUUGAUCAAAUUAAAGAAAAUAUUAGUAAAAUAAAAUUAUUAAAACAAAAAAUAAAUGAAAUUGAAAGUAAUGAUAAAGAGAUUAAAAAAGAACUGAACAUUCACAACGAUAAAAAUAGUUCUAUAUUGGAAAAUAUAAACAAGUUGGAAAUCAAAAGGGAAAACAUCGUUAAGGAACUUAAAUUUUACUCAAAGGAUUUUCUACUAUAUAAGAACUUAGAACUUAUUUACAAUGAAAGCGAACUAUAUAUAAAAAAUUUAAAACAAUUUUCACAGAGGUGCACUGAAAAAAUUGUAAAAAUUGAGAAGAGCUUAAAAGAUGUAUCAGAGGUUAAAGACAAUAAAUUUGAUUACUAUUUUGAAAAUAUAAAAAAUAAAAAUAUUGCUUUGAAAAAAGAAGCAGCCAAUCUUGAUUAUAAUUUAGAAAGUUUAAAUAAUGAAUUAAAAGAGUACAUAAAUAAACAAAACAUAACAAAAGAAAAUCAACAAGCUGUUCAAAAAGGAAUAGAUUUUUGUGUAAAUAAUUAUUACAACGAAUUUGAUCAUCUGAUAUAUACUAAAAGAAAAAUAAAAAAAAAAAUAAAUGAUACUAUAAAUAUUUACGAGAAAAGAAUAAAGGAUGUUAAUAUAAAAAAAAGUAGUUAA